rnacentral:rRNA from 1 species
AACAAGGUAGUCGUAGGGGAACCUGUGUCUGGAAGAGA